rnacentral:lncRNA from 1 species
AUGUGAGCAAUAUGUUUCAUUCUGGAGAGAGAAGACAUUGUGUGACACGAGAUCUUGGGAAUGUCCUGGGUCUUGAAGUAUCUGAAGCUUCUUCUAACAGACAAACGGGGUUGGAAAGAUGGCUCAGUGGUGAAGGGCGUGCACUGCUCUUCUCGAGGACCUGAGUUCAGAUCCCAGCACCUACAUCAGAUCACUCUCCAUCACCUGUGACUCCAACUCUAGGGAGAACAAACAUCCCUGGCCUCUACUGGCAUUUGCUCUCACAUGUAUAUAUGUCACCCAAACAUAAACACACAAUUUAAAAUAAUAAAAAUCAAUCUUAAG